UGGGGAAUAUUGCACAAUGGGCGAAAGCCUGAUGCAGCGACGCCGCGUGAGGGAUGACGGCCUUCGGGUUGUAAACCUCUUUCAGCAGGGACGAAGCGCAAGUGACGGUACCUGCAGAAGAAGCACCGGCUAACUACGUGCCAGCAGCCGCGGUAAUACGUAGGGUGCAAGCGUUGUCCGGAAUUACUGGGCGUAAAGAGUUCGUAGGCGGUUUGUCGCGUCGUUUGUGAAAACCAGCAGCUCAACUGCUGGCUUGCAGGCGAUACGGGCAGACUUGAGUACUGCAGGGGAGACUGGAAUUCCUGGUGUAGCGGUGAAAUGCGCAGAUAUCAGGAGGAACACCGGUGGCGAAGGCGGGUCUCUGGGCAGUAACUGACGCUGAGGAACGAAAGCGUGGGUAGCGAACAG
rnacentral:rRNA from 3 species